rnacentral:tRNA from 3 species
GCGCCAGUAGCUCAUCCGGAUAGAGCAACUGCCUUCUAAGCAGUAGGUUGGGGGUUCGAGUCCCUCCUGGCGCGCCA